rnacentral:rRNA from 1 species
ACGGAGGGUGCAAGCGUUAUCCGGAUUCACUGGGUUUAAAGGGUGCGUAGGCGGGCAGGUAAGUCCGUGGUGAAAUCUCUGAGCUUAACUCAGAAACUGCCAUGGAUACUAUUUGUCUUGAAUACUGUGGAGGUAAGCGGAAUAUGUCAUGUAGCGGUGAAAUGCUUAGAUAUGACAUGGAACACCAAUUGCGAAGGCAGCUUACUACACAAAUAUUGACGCUGAGGCACGAAAGCGUGGGGAUCAAACAGGAUUAGAUACCCUGGUAGUCCACGCCCUAAACGAUGAUUACUCGACAUCAGCGAUACACUGUUGGUGUCUGAGCGAAAGCAUUAAGUAAUCCACCUGGGAAGUACGUUCGCAAGAAUG